UACGUAGGGUGCGAGCGUUGUCCGGAAUUACUGGGCGUAAAGGGCGCGCAGGCUGUAGAUCAAGUCAGCUGUGAAAUGUCUGGGCUUAACCCGGGCAUGCGGUUGAAACUGAUGUACUGGAGUGCUGUAGAGGCAAGUGGAAUUCCCAGUGUAGCGGUGAAAUGCGUAGGUAUUGGGAAGAACACUGGUGGCGAAGGCGACUUGCUGGGCAGCAACUGACGCUGAGGCGCGAAAGCCAGGGGAGCAAACGGGAUUA
rnacentral:rRNA from 1 species